UACAGAGACUGCGAGCGUUAUUCGGAUUCACUGGGCGUAAAGGGUGCGCAGGCGGCCAAGUGUGUGAGGCGUGAAAGCCCGAGGCUUAACCUCGGAACUGCCUUCGAUACUGCGGGUCUCGAGUCCGGGAGAGGUGAGUGGAAUUCCUAGUGUAGAGGUGAAAUUCGUAGAUAUUAGGAAGAACACCAGUGGCGAAGGCGGCUCACUGGCCCGGUACUGACGCUGAGGCGCGAAAGCGUGGGGAGCAAACAGG
rnacentral:rRNA from 1 species